rnacentral:rRNA from 1 species
GGGUUGUGAGGUUAAGCGACUAAGCGUACACGGUGGAUGCCCUGGCAGUCAGAGGCGAUGAAGGACGUGCUAAUCUGCGAAAAGCGUCGGUAAGGUGAUAUGAACCGUUAUAACCGGCGAUGUCCGAAUGGGGAAACCCAGUGCAAUUCGUUGCACUAUCGUUAACUGAAUACAUAGGUUAACGAGGCGAACCGGGGGAACUGAAACAUCUAAGUACCCCGAGGAAAAGAAAUCAACCGAGAUUCCCCCAGUAGCGGCGAGCGAACGGGGAGCAGCCCAGAGUCUGAAUCAGCUUGUGUGUUAGUGGAACGGUCUGGAAAGUCCGACGGUACAGGGUGAUAGUCCCGUACACCAAAAUGCACAGGUUGUGAACUCGAAGAGUAGGGCGGGACACGUGGUAUCCUGUCUGAAUAUGGGGGGACCAUCCUCCAAGGCUAAAUACUCCUGACUGACCGAUAGUGAACCAGUACCGUGAGGGAAAGGCGAAAAGAACCCCGGCGAGGGGAGUGAAAAAGAACCUGAAACCGUGUACGUACAAGCAGUGGGAGCACCUUCGGGUGUGACUGCGUACCUUUUGUAUAAUGGGUCAGCGACUUAUAUUCUGUAGCAAGGUUAACCGUAUAGGGGAGCCGCAGGGAAACCGAGUCUUAACUGGGCGUUAAGUUGCAGGGUAUAGACCCGAAACCCGGUGAUCUAGCCAUGGGCAGGUUGAAGGUUGGGUAACACUAACUGGAGGACCGAACCGACUAAUGUUGAAAAAUUAGCGGAUGACUUGUGGCUGGGGGUGAAAGGCCAAUCAAACCGGGAGAUAGCUGGUUCUCCCCGAAAGCUAUUUAGGUAGCGCCUCGUGAACUCAUCUUCGGGGGUAGAGCACUGUUUCGGCUAGGGGGUCAUCCCGACUUACCAACCCGAUGCAAACUACGAAUACCGAAGAAUGUUAUCACGGGAGACACACGGCGGGUGCUAACGUCCGUCGUGAAGAGGGAAACAACCCAGACCGCCAGCUAAGGUCCCAAAGUCAUGGUUAAGUGGGAAACGAUGUGGGAAGGCACAGACAGCCAGGAUGUUGGCUUAGAAGCAGCCAUCAUUUAAAGAAAGCGUAAUAGCUCACUGGUCGAGUCGGCCUGCGCGGAAGAUGUAACGGGGCUAAACCAUGCACCGAAGCUGCGGCAGCGACACUAUGUGUUGUUGGGUAGGGGAGCGUUCUGUAAGCCUGCGAAGGUGACCUGUGAGGGUUGCUGGAGGUAUCAGAAGUGCGAAUGCUGACAUAAGUAACGAUAAAGCGGGUGAAAAGCCCGCUCGCCGGAAGACCAAGGGUUCCUGUCCAACGUUAAUCGGGGCAGGGUGAGUCGACCCCUAAGGCGAGGCCGAAAGGCGUAGUCGAUGGGAAACAGGUUAAUAUUCCUGUACUUGGUGUUACUGCGAAGGGGGGACGGAGAAGGCUAUGUUAGCCGGGCGACGGUUGUCCCGGUUUAAGCAUGUAGGCUGGUUGUCCAGGCAAAUCCGGAUAAUCAAGGCUGAGGUGUGAUGACGAGGCACUACGGUGCUGAAGUAACAAAUGCCCUGCUUCCAGGAAAAGCCUCUAAGCAUCAGGUAACAUCAAAUCGUACCCCAAACCGACACAGGUGGUCAGGUAGAGAAUACCAAGGCGCUUGAGAGAACUCGGGUGAAGGAACUAGGCAAAAUGGUGCCGUAACUUCGGGAGAAGGCACGCUGGUGUGUAGGUGAAGUCCCUGCGGAUGGAGCUGAGACCAGUCGAAGAUACCAGCUGGCUGCAACUGUUUAUUAAAAACACAGCACUGUGCAAACACGAAAGUGGACGUAUACGGUGUGACGCCUGCCCGGUGCCGGAAGGUUAAUUGAUGGGGUUAUCCGUAAGGAGAAGCUCUUGAUCGAAGCCCCGGUAAACGGCGGCCGUAACUAUAACGGUCCUAAGGUAGCGAAAUUCCUUGUCGGGUAAGUUCCGACCUGCACGAAUGGCGUAAUGAUGGCCAGGCUGUCUCCACCCGAGACUCAGUGAAAUUGAACUCGCUGUGAAGAUGCAGUGUACCCGCGGCAAGACGGAAAGACCCCGUGAACCUUUACUAUAGCUUGACACUGAACAUUGAGCCUUGAUGUGUAGGAUAGGUGGGAGGCUUUGAAGCGUGGACGCCAGUCUGCGUGGAGCCAACCUUGAAAUACCACCCUUUAAUGUUUGAUGUUCUAACGUUGGCCCCUUACCGGGGUUGCGGACAGUGUCUGGUGGGUAGUUUGACUGGGGCGGUCUCCUCCUAAAGCGUAACGGAGGAGCACGAAGGUUAGCUAAUCCUGGUCGGACAUCAGGAGGUUAGUGCAAUGGCAUAAGCUAGCUUGACUGCGAGCGUGACGGCGCGAGCAGGUGCGAAAGCAGGUCAUAGUGAUCCGGUGGUUCUGAAUGGAAGGGCCAUCGCUCAACGGAUAAAAGGUACUCCGGGGAUAACAGGCUGAUACCGCCCAAGAGUUCAUAUCGACGGCGGUGUUUGGCACCUCGAUGUCGGCUCAUCACAUCCUGGGGCUGAAGUAGGUCCCAAGGGUAUGGCUGUUCGCCAUUUAAAGUGGUACGCGAGCUGGGUUUAGAACGUCGUGAGACAGUUCGGUCCCUAUCUGCCGUGGGCGCUGGAGAAUUGAGGGGGGCUGCUCCUAGUACGAGAGGACCGGAGUGGACGCAUCACUGGUGUUCGGGUUGUCAUGCCAAUGGCACUGCCCGGUAGCUAAAUGCGGAAGAGAUAAGUGCUGAAAGCAUCUAAGCACGAAACUUGCCCCGAGAUGAGUUCUCCCUGAGACUUUAAGUCUCCUGAAGGAACGUUGAAGACGACGACGUUGAUAGGCCGGGUGUGUAAGCGCAGCGAUGCGUUGAGCUAACCGGUACUAAUGAACCGUGAGGCUUAACCUUACAACGCCGAAG